rnacentral:rRNA from 1 species
UAGUCCACGCCGUAAACGAUGGUUACUAGCUGUUUGGACUUUUGUCUGAGUGGCUAAGCGAAAGUGAUAAGUAACCCACCUGGGGAGUACGAUCGCAAGAUUGAAACUCAAAGGAAUUGACGGGGGCCCGCACAAGCGGUGGAGCAUGUGGUUUAAUUCGAUGAUACGCGAGGAACCUUACCAGGGCUUAAAUGUAUUGUGACAUGGGCAGAGAUGCCUUUUUCUUCGGACACAUUACAAGGUGCUGCAUGGUUGUCGUCAGCUCGUGCCGUGAGGUGUCAGGUUAAGUCCUAUAACGAGCGCAACCCCUGUUGUUAGUUACCAGCACGUCGUGGUGGGGACUCUAACAAGACUGCCGGUGCAAACCGUGAGGAAGGUGGGGAUGACGUCAAAUCAUCACGGCCCUUACGUCCUGGGCUACACACGUGCUACAAUGGUAGGUACAGAGAGCAGCCACCUCGCAAGGGGGAGCGAAUCUAUAAACUCGUUCUAAGUUCGGAUUGUAGGCUGC